GGAGGUGCGGGGGGAGGGGGAGGGAGGGGAGGGGCGCGCGGCGCGCACGCACUGCACGUGGCCGCUGGCGCCGCAAGCCGCGCUCGCCAUAACGGAGGAGCCGGCGUGCUGCGUGCGCAGCGACCUGUUCCUGGCGGCGCACGACGACGACUCGCAACAAAUGAUCCCGGGCGCGGGCGGCGCGGG